CAGCCGCCGCGGUAAUACCGGCGGCCCGAGUGGCGGUCACUAUUAUUGGGCUUAAAGCGUCCGUAGCCGGGUUGGGAAGUCCUCCGGGAAAUCUGGCCCCUUAACGGUCAGAAUGCCGGAGGAUACUCCCAGCCUAGGGAGAGGGAGAGGCCGAGGGUAUUCCCGGAGUAGGGGGGAAAUCCUAUAAUCCCGGGAGGACCACCUGGGGCGAAGGCGCUCGGCUGGAACGCGUCCGACGGUGAGGGACGAAGGCCAGGGGAGCAAACCGGAUUAGAUACCCGGGUAGUCCUGGCUGUAAACGAUGCGGACUUUGUGUCGGACAAGCUAUGAGCUUGUCCGGUGCCGGAGGGAAACCGUUAAGUCCGCCGCCUGGGGAGUACGGCCGCAAGGCUGAAACUUAAAGGAAUUGGCGGG
rnacentral:rRNA from 1 species